UCUAUCCCUACCCAAGAGUCUCUGCAGCAUUCACCUUCUCCCCCUCUUCCUCGUAACAGACAUCCCGAAUCUUCGGAUGAUGAAGAUGAGUCAGCCUCCCCCGCCCUCCCUGCAGGCAAGUCCAAGCCUAAAGUGGGCAAAGGGAAAGGCAAGGCCCAGAAGGAGAACCCACCCCCUGGUGCAUCAUACAGCUUCACAGAGGCGCAGGAGGAGGCAAUCGCUCGCUGGGUGGAGAGUAACAAGCUACUGUAUGACAUGAAGGACAAACAGUACAAAGACAAGGCAUAAAGGAGGCAUCUAUGGGAGGGAAAGGCUGCGGAGUACGGGUUGGAUUAUCAUUCAAUUCUGAAAUGGUACCACACACAGAGGACUCGAUUCUCGAAGCUGCGGGAGGGCCAACCCAAGAAGAAAUCCCAGAAGAGGUCCGGUGAUGGUCUGUCGAGUGGUGACGAGGAAGACCCCAUCCUUGCUGAGGAGGCCAGUGAGAAUGACAGUGACCGUGGCAAGUUCAUCCGCCGGGUCUUUGGGUUUCUGAAGCCACACAUCAGACGUCACAAGAAGGAUACACCAGCUAGUUUUAAGGACAAGUUGGCCCUGGCUAAGACGGGUGAGCUGGCUGGGAGUGACAACAGUACCAUGGCAGGCAGUCUUGCAGAAGAACCCAGGGAGCCCACCAAGAAGUACACUGGCUACCCUACACCGAGACCUCCUUCCAGGACAGGAACAGCUGCUGAGGACCAAUCCGAGUCUCCUACCAUGGAGAUGAGAGUUACCGGAGCAUCAUCCCGUGAUCUCCAAGGCUGGUUCAGUUCAUCACUCGAGAGCAGCAAGUCAACAGGGCCACUCCUUUCUGCAAGUACCUGGAAACUGAACUGGAUCGUCUGCAUGAUGCCUUCCUGGAACCUGCGUAUGAGGAGAUCACCACAGUUCUUAACCAUUACCGGAAGAUGUCCAGACAGUUAAGGAUGAGGGAAGCGGCUGGUGACCAGAUCAGUCCCUUCGUAGAUGUCCCGUCAGCAUUCCAGUCGCAGCAGCCGCAGAGGCCAGUUGCUAUGAUCCCAGUCUGCACAUCUGCCACCUACUCAAGAGUCAGCCAACAUCAACAGGAGAUGCCCUCCCCAGCGGUACCUACUACUCCGCCAGCAGGGCUGCCUCUUCACCGUCAGCAGAGUUCCAGCCAGGUCCCAGCCAGUGGCCUAGGAACCCACCUCCGGCAUCAGUGUGGAGAUCCCAGGAGUGUGGCUACGUAGAGCAGGUGAACCAGCAGCACAACUUGGAGCAACAGCAGCAGUACCAUACCCUCCAGCCAGCCAGCACUUCUACUCAGUGCUACGUUCCUUCUCCUCGCCAGGCUGCAUUCUUCAAACUUCCUUCUCAGCCUCCUCAGCAGCAAAUCAGUGGUCCUUGGCAGCUAUCACCCCAGCAGCCAGUCCAGGGUCCUCCUCCGCCUCCUCUUCCAGCUCAGCAGUCUCAGCACAAUGUGACCCAGGACAGCCUCAAUAUCAACAAAGAUCUCUCAGCUUUAGUGCCACAUGAAGACAAUAAAAAAAUCACACAGAAACUUGAGAUUGUAUGUAAUAAAAAUUGUCAGUGAUA